rnacentral:rRNA from 1 species
GAUGAACGCUAGCGGCAGGCUUAAUACAUGCAAGGCGAGGGGGCAGCAAUGUCACCGUCGUACGGGUGCGUAACGCGUAUGUAACCUACCUUCAACUGGGGGAUAGCCCGGGGAAACCCGGAUUAAUACCGCAUGACACAUUGGUAUAGCAUUAUAUUAAUUGUUAAAGAUUUAUUGGUUGAAGAUGGGCAUGCGUUCGA